UCCACAUCACCAUCUUUUCCAAAUUGAUAUAACAUUAGAAAAAAAUCAACUGUUAGGAUAGUCCCGGUGGACACUAGUGGAACGUCCUGCCUCAGAACGCACAGCCUCGACGUUCCACGGACAGGCCACUGUGUGCGUUCGAGCAGUCUACCCACUGCUGCCCUUGGGCACCGUGUGAGUAUGGGUAUCGAUUUUAAAAUACGCCCCAUCUCCUAUACUACAUUCCCUGGGUUGUGGACUUUGUGCCUUUGGGUAUGGCUGUUUUCUGUUAUAAGUAAUACAUUGGAAUUAUUCUUUGGAGCUCUCUCACAUAUAGUAGGUCUACAUAGCACACAGAGGUAGACAGUUUAACAGUCACACGGAACAAAUAAAACAUGUAUAAAAUCCUCUAUGACGUCCUUUCUUUUCUUCGUGUUCAGCUCCAGGUUGUUUCCGCUGCACAUCGCUGUUAGACACUGCGCUUCUUGUCUGUCUAUAGGCUGUCUCGUCGUUGUUAUUGACGACACUUGUGACGUUUUUAGUCUCACAAUGGAUUCUGAGGACCCCCUUUUAUUAUAGUGCUGUGAUAAUACAAACAUACAGCCUCCUUAAUAUCUAAACAUAUUAUUUGAAAGACUGAAGACGGAGAGUUCUGCAUGAAAGAUGUAUUUUAUUAUUGUCAGGGACGUGGCACACAACCAUUGGUUGAUGCAAUGUGGCGUGUCAAUUGUAGGCGGCCUCGUAGGAUUUCAAUGGGCUGGGCUGCAGAGGAGCUCAGCAUUUCUUCCGAAUCUCUCUCCCCCUCAGCUAUGCCGGUGUGUAAAGGGGUGAAUUUGUCUAUGGGAGCCGAGACUAAUCGCACGGUGGAAGUAGAGAGACGCCGAUGAAGUGUGUAUCAGUCAUUGCUGGUGGCUGGCAGCGACGGCAGAGCAGAGCGUGACAUGCCAGUGUUUUUUCCUGAGGGGAUGUGUUUUCUUGGUCUUGGAUCCACGGAGUGAUGGCAGAAUGUUCCAUUUAUUCUAUGGAUCUUUCCUUCCCGUCGUAUUUCUGCCACCACGGCAAGAUCCAGAGCAGGGCGGUGUAACUGGGUGAUUCAACAUCACUGUUAUAGUGAUCGGAAGAGACACGGAGGAUUUUGCAACAAGUGCAAGUAGGAAAACCGUCAUUACACCUUUCCCCUUCAUAAUCAACGCAGUUCUCUCUGGCAGUGUUCAAGCCUCAGCAGCAGUCAAUCGGAGUGUUUCUGGCUUCUGGCUGAUUUGUUAUUUUUCUGAUGAUCACGGUUGGCAGCUCCCUUCUGGUUUCGUUUUACAGCUCAGAGUGUCAGUGAGUAGUGCUGGUUAUAUAGGGACUUGUAUUUCCAUCCACUUACAUCCACGGUUUUAUCCAACCAAGGUCGUUUUGUCCAGCCGGCGCGUUAUAUCCGACCGAGGCUUUAUAUUCAACCGAGCCCGUUUUUUCCAACCGAGGUUGUUUCUCAGUUUUUAUUUUUAUUAUUAUUUUUCCGAACAUGACUCUAGUAUUUAGUGAGAUAUAAUAUUGAAAUGUGAAAUUAAAGACAUGACUAUAUUCUGGUUGGUUUGUUUCCGUUUUAUUCAACAAAGCACCACGUUGUACACAUAAGCAUACCUAGAUACGGCUUUGGGAUGGGAUGGAAAUGAGUGAACCGAUUUCAAGCUUUGACAAGUUUAGAAAUAACAGUCACGGGGAGAUGUUCACUCUUUACACGGUCGCUGACAGACAGAGCGUUUUGGGUCUGGGACUAUGAACGGGGCGGAGCUACCGCAGCUAUCCAAUCAUAGCUGACUGGUACAUUCCACCACGCCUCUAUUAUCCGAACAUGACUCUGGUAUGCAGCUACGGCUGAGCUAUCCAACAGUGGCCGAUACAGAUAUCCACUCCCGGCUGACUCGUCCAACCAUGGAUGGCUGUAUUCUGAAGUGUCCAACCGUGGCUCUGUUAUUUAUUCCUAACCUACAAUGAAUCUCGAGAGCUGGAGAGGUGCCAAGUUCAUGUAGGGAAAGCCCCUGGCACUUUUCGGGUUCGGGCUGGGAUCGAAAUGAGUGAAACGACUUCAAGCUUUGACAACUUUGAAAUAGUAGCCAGGGGAGAAGUUCACUCUGGCACUGAGUGUAGUGGAGGCUCAGGACGGCUCUGCUUCGCGUAGAGGAAGACCCUGGAAAUUGAUUACACGUAAGACUUGUGCUGUUUCAUAUUGUCAUACUCUCCUUUCCUAAGUUUAUAUUCUGUCCAUGACGGAGGUGAUAUAAUAUUGAAAUGUGAAAAUAAAGACAUGACUAUAUUCUGGUUGGUAUUUUUUACAUUUAUUAAUCAAAGCGCAUUGUACACAUAAGCAAACAUAUACGGUUUUGGGCUGGGAUGGAAAUGAGUCAAACGAUUUCAAGCUUUGACAAGUUUAGAAAUAACAGUCACGGGGAGAUGUUCACUCUUGCACGGUCGCUGACAGACUGAGAGUGUUUUGGGUCUGGGACUAUGAACGGGGCGGAGCUACCGCAGCUAUCCAAUCAUAGCUGACUGGUACAUUCCACCACGCCUCUAUUAUCCGAACAUGACUCUAGUAUGCAGCUACGGCUGAGCUAUCCAACAGUGGCCGAUACAGAUAUCCACUCCCGGCUGACUCGUCCAACCAUGGCUGUAUUCUGAAGUGUCCAACCGUGGCUCUGUUAUUUAUUCCUAACCUACAAUGAAUCUCGAGAGCUGGAGAGGCGCCAAGUUCAUGUAGGGAAAGCCCCUGGCACUUCUCAGUUUCGGUCUGGAAUCGAAAUGAGUCAAACGACUUCAAACUUUGACAACUUUGAAAUAGUAGCCAGAGGAGAAGUUCACUCUGGCACUGAGUUCGUGAAGUGGAGGCUCAGGACGGCUCUGCUUCACGUAGAGGAAGCCCCUGGAAAUUGAGUACACAUUAAACUUGUUCUUUAAAAAAAUUGUUAUGUUUUCAUACUGUCAUACUCUGCCUCCCUAAGUGUAUAUUACCUCCAUGAGCGAGGUGAUAUAAUAUUGAAAUGUGAAAAUAAAGACAUGACUAUAUUCUGGUUGGUUUGUUUCCGUUUUUUCAACAAAGCACCACAUUGUACACAUGCUUAAGCAUACAUUGAUUUUUAAAAAAUUUUUUGAAAAAUAUUUUUUAUUUUCAUUUCACAUUCAAAUACAAUUACAAAUUCAGUGCAUAACAUGGAUACUUACAAACAGUAUCAAAAAGUACCGUAACAAUAUAAGAAUAUCAAAACUCCUAAAAAAAAGUACUGUUCUGCAGAUACGGUUUUGGGCUGGGAUGGAAAUGAGUGAAAGACUUCAAGCUUUGACAAGUUUAGAAAUAACAGUCACGGGGAGAUGUUCACUCUUACACGGUCGCUGACAGACUGAGAGUGUUUUGGGUCUGGGACUAUGAACGGGGCGGAGCUACCGCAGCUAUCCAAUCAUAGCUGACUGGUACAUUCCACCACGCCUCUAUUAUCCGAACAUGACUCUAGUAUGCAGCUACGGCUGAGCUAUCGUACAGUGGCCGAUACAGAUAUCCACUCCCGGCUGACUCGUCCAACCAUGGCUGUAUUCUGAAGUAUCCAAAUAUGGCUCUGUUAUCCAUUUCUAACCUACAAUGAAUCUCGAGAGCUGGAGAGGUGCCAAGUUCAUGUAGGGAAAGCCCCUGGCACUUCUCAGUUUCGGUCUGGAAUCGAAAUGAGUCAAACGACUUCAAGCUUUGACAACUUUGAAAUAGUAGCCAGAGGAGAAGUUCACUCUGGCACUGAGUUCGUGUAGUGGAGGCUCAGGACGGCUCUGCUUCACGAAGAGGAAGACCCUGGAAAUUGAGUACACACUAAACUUGCUCUUUAAAAAAAAUUGUUAUGUUUUCAUACUGUCAUACUCUGCCUCCCUAAAUGUAUAUUACCUCCAUGAACGAGGUGAUAUAAUAUUGAAAUGUGAAAAUAAAGACAUGACUAUAUUCUG